rnacentral:snRNA from 1 species
AGCUUUGUGCAGUAGCAAUAUUGUAACCAGUGAGGUUUAUCUGAGGCAUGAUUAUUGCUAAUUGAAAACUUUCCCCCAAUUUUAUAUAUAUAUAUAUAUGGCAAAUAUAUUUUGAGGCAUUGACCUCAGCUACCAUCAACAGGCAGCCUCCCUGUGUACAGACCAAUG